GAAAUGCGAUAAGUAAUGCGAAUUGCAGAAUUCAGUGAGUCAUCGAAUCUUUGAACGCACAUUGCGCCCUGUGGUAUUCCGCAGGGCAUGCCUGUUCGAGCGUCAUU
rnacentral:rRNA from 9 species